rnacentral:rRNA from 1 species
GAGGAAUAUUGCGCAAUGGGCGAAAGCCUGACGCAGCAACGCCGCGUGAGGGACGAAGGCCUUCGGGUCGUAAACCUCUUUUCUGGGGAAAGAGCAAGGACGGUACCUCAGGAAUAAGUCUCGGCUAACUACGUGCCAGCAGCCGCGGUAAAACGUAGGAGGCGAGCGUUAUCCGGAUUUACUGGGCGUAAAGCGCGCGCAGGCGGUUUCGUGAGUCGGACAUGAAAGCUCCUGGCUUAACUGGGAGAGGCUGUUCGAUACUGCGGGACUUGAGGUUGGGAGAGGGGUGUGGAAUUCCCGGUGUAGUGGUGGAAUGCGUAGAUAUCGGGAGGAACACCUGUGGCGAAAGCGGCACCCUGGCCCACACCUGACGCUGAGGUGCGAAAGCGUGGGGAGCAAAC